rnacentral:tRNA from 1 species
GCCCGAGUGGCGAAAUGGCAGACGCAGCGGACUCAAAAUCCGCCGGGGGCGACCCCAUGUGAGUUCGAGUCUCACCUCGGGCA